rnacentral:lncRNA from 1 species
AUACAAGACAGGACAGAAAUACCCAGAGACAUCAAGGCAUCCCUCCCUCGGCAGGGGCAGCCCUGUGAGAAGCUACCUGUUCAACCAGCCAUGGGAGUGUUGGCCACGAAGGGGAGAGAAAGGCGACAGAGACGUAACCAAAUGCCAGUCCUGCUGGCCCUCCAGAUCAUUUCCUAACAGAUUAACUGUUUUUCAGACAGAAUUCUAAAACCAUUGCCAGCCACCUCCCUGAGUGUCAGUAGGAAGGGAUGGGGAUUUCCUGAUCCCAGGCUCAUAUCUGUACCAGCUGUCACAAACAGCCCACCACAUUGAGUUUCCAGCACCCAAGUUCAACAGGCCACUGUUGUUGGCCUCUGCAACCAGCUCGGGGCCAUCCACAUCAGCACACGUUUGGUCAGCAUCCACCUGGGUGCCGGCCUUUGGCUUUGGUAGGCCGGGAAACUCCUAGACUGGAGGGAAUGCCCAGCUCUUCAAGGACCCUCUGCAUCCACACUUCACUUUAGGUAGCCCCCAGUCUUUCCACUUUGCACUAGCACAUCUAUCAGCCACUUAAGGACUUACUGGUUAAGAUUUAGGGCCACUCCUAAUUACAAAAGGGGGAACAAACGAGGGGGAGUUUCCUCUGACCUGAGGACUAUGCUAACAGCAAUUCAUGGAGCCUUCUGGACACGCUCCAGCCCUCUGAUGAGGCCCCAAGUGGAGGGCACAAGAAGACCAAGUAGAUCACGAGGAGAACCAGAAAGCUGAGAUCUCAAAGGUCAUAUGGAAUCUGGUACACAUAUCCCUCCAUUCCUAACACACAUAUGCGGACACGUAUUCCAAAGAACAGCAUUCCUCUCCAGGGAGUCUGUAUUCCAGUAAAUCACCUAUUUAAAGGCUCGUUUUUAAAAAGGGGGCAAUGAGGAUCCCAGUGAGUAAAAAAAUUAAUGUCUGGGGAAAAAAGCAAACCAGAAUUCCAGUAGAAGGCCUGGUGUCUGACCUAAGAAAACAAGUCGUGAUUUUCUCAGAAAAAAUGAAAACUUCAUCAAGAACCAGGCCCGAGGUUCGACAACAGCCCUUGGAGAGGCGCAGUCAUAAAACCGUAACGGGGCGAGGCACGAGAUUCAAAGGAAAUUAAACAUUUGAAAUCCCUACAAUGAGAGGUGGCCUGGACACACAUCCACACAAAAGAAACUUGAAGGGGCCCAUUAGAGAAAGGGUUAAGUGCACUUCACCUUGAGUUGCAACCGCUUGGCGAGCGCUUUCCAAACCCGGGCUCCUCUGGAGCCGCUGGUGGAGCAGGGGCUUUCCUGGCCCUGCGGUUCAGCUCUGCUUGUCCAUUCUACUGUGCAAUUACAGAAUCAAUAAAGCAUCCCUUUGAAACUCCCUGGACUAGUGC